ACUCCUACGGGGGGCGGCAGUGGGGAAUAUUGGACAAUGGGCGGAAGCCUGAUCCAGCCAUGCCGCGUGUGUGAAGAAGGCCUUUUGGUUGUAAAGCACUUUAAGCGAGGAGGAGGCUACUAGUAUUAAUACUACUGGAUAGUGGACGUUACUCGCAGAAUAAGCACCGGCUAACUCUGUGCCAGCAGCCGCGGUAAUACAGAGGGUGCGAGCGUUAAUCGGAUUUACUGGGCGUAAAGCGUGCGUAGGCGGCUUUUUAAGUCGGAUGUGAAAUCCCCGAGCUUAACUUGGGAAUUGCAUUCGAUACUGGGAAGCUAGAGUAUGGGAGAGGAUGGUAGAAUUCCAGGUGUAGCGGUGAAAUGCGUAGAGAUCUGGAGGAAUACCGAUGGCGAAGGCAGCCAUCUGGCCUAAUACUGACGCUGAGGUACGAAAGCAUGGGGAGCAAACAGGAUUAGAUACCCUGGUAGUCCAUGCCGUAAACGAUGUCUACUAGCCGUUGGGGCCUUUGAGGCUUUAGUGGCGCAGCUAACGCGAUAAGUAGACCGCCUGGGGAGUACGGUCGCAAGACUAAAACUCAAAUGAAUUGACGGGGGCCCGCACAAGCGGUGGAGCAUGUGGUUUAAUUCGAUGCAACGCGAAGAACCUUACCUGGCCUUGACAUACUAGAAACUUUCCAGAGAUGGAUUGGUGCCUUCGGGAAUCUAGAUACAGGUGAUGCAUGGAUGUCGUCAGCUC
rnacentral:rRNA from 1 species